rnacentral:rRNA from 1 species
CAGUCGCCGCGGGAAUACAGAGGGUGCGAGCGUUAAUCGGAUUUACUGGGCGUAAAGCGUGCGUAGGCGGCUUUUUAAGUCGGAUGUGAAGUCCCUGAGCUUAACUUAGGAAUUGCAUUCGAUACUGGGAAGCUAGAGUAUGGGAGAGGAUGGUAGAAUUCCAGGUGUAGCGGUGAAAUGCGUAGAGAUCUGGAGGAAUACCGAUGGCGAAGGCAGCCAUCUGGCCUAAUACUGACGCUGAGGUACGAAAGCAUGGGGAGCAAACAGGAUUAGAUACCCGAGUAGUCCCUGUCUCUUAUAC